rnacentral:lncRNA from 1 species
UCAUCGUCAAGUUUAUGCUAUAUGUGUAUGAACUGCAACCCUCUACAUGAGGAUGGGACUUUCUUCAGUUCUGUCGUAGAAGCAUGAAGAGGGGAGCUACAGAUGUUUUCAAUCUCUACUUAAUUAAGCAUUGCCAGCUGCUUGAGGGUGGCAUUUGGCAAGUGCAGAGCUCCUGUACCACGAAGAACACAGGCUGCUAUUUCCUACAUCAGAUUUUGCUGGUGGAUGAUCCACAGCAUACUCAGAAUCCAGAAAAAGGGAACGAUCAAGAAGGAGUUUUCAUAAACCAUUGGAUCUACUUAUAUUUUCUGUUAUCAAAACAUCUUUUAUCAUUGAUCCUUCCUACUGAUUCAUUUGCGAUGCCCACCCCUGGAGCUCUAAUCAUCCAACAAGCGUUUCUGAGUGAGGCCUAAGAUUCAGCCCACUAUUAGCCUUGCUGAAGAAUCAAAAAUACAAAUAAACUCCUGAAUAGUAUUUAAUGACAUAAAUUUAUCAGAUUUCACCUCCAAGUACGUCAAAUAAAAAUACUCUUUCCUGUUUUCUAUAAAAACAACAACAAAAACACUAUUGAAGGUAUUUUCUAUUACGUUAUUCUAUGUCCU